AAAAGAUUACCAACAAUUCUAGUGGUAUCAGUGCUGGUUCCUUCCCUAACUGACAAUUUUGUUUCCUUUUCAGAGGUUACUGCUCUGAGGACCAGAUGCCAGGCCAAAGACUCAAGCUGUUGGUACACAUUUGCUCUAGGCACAGGGCAGUGACCACAUCUGUGGACACUUGCUUUUUACCACCCACCAUCAUGAUCCUGCUCUGAGACCAUCUAGGCCCAGUUCUCUGCACGGGAGAUGUGAACAGGGCAUGCGCACAACCGUCACAAUCUGCCCUGCUGUGGCGCACAAAUCCACGUCCACACUUUUGUCCUACAUGCUUUCCAUGGGCCGCUUUUUCUGAAGAGUUCUAAUAUUAUCCAAUGGGGUACAUGUCAAAAGAAACAGGCAUAUUAUUGGAACAAAAUUGCAAGGGUCCAUCACUUCCCGCAUGAAGCAUGUGUACGCUUCUUUUUUGGCAAGGUGCUAGCCUUGAAAAUACCAAUGGAGUUAUAAGGGGAGAUGAGAAAGAAGACACCAGAGGAUUGGACUCAGCCAGUUUCCUUGCUUUGACUAAUGGGACAUCAGCAAAUGUGUCACAAAGAAUGGCUUGAAAGAAGGUGCACAUUGUCUGAAAUCCUGGAUACCACGUGUUCCAGAUCAUAUAGCAUACAAGAUGGAGAAAGACUGACCUCAUUGCACUGGACUAUGAUAUGAGUGAACGGCACUUUUAUUGUGUUAAGCUACUGUGAUCUCAGGGAUAUUUUUGUCACAUCAACACAGCUCACAAAAUAAUCUUUCCCCAAAUGAAAAUCCAUCCUCUCAUCGCAUUGAGUUUUCAGUAUAGAGCAAAAAACUCAUCAAGAAAUUCUCCUUUGUGUAUGAAUCUCAUGUUUAUCACAAGCUGACUUACAGGUUGUGUGUCAAUGAUUUCAUCCCACUGCAAACUGAAAUGUCAUCUAAUAAGUUCAGAUGAUAGUAACUGCCUUUUAACAAUUUAUAGCAAUGAUGUGGUGCAAAAUUCAGCAGCAUCCCUUGCUUGAUCAAGAUAUCCUGCUGGUAGCUCAUGUAGCUUUCUUUUCUCACCUCAAGUUUCCAUAGCAUCUCUCAGCUUCCCUGCCCCAGGGUUUUCUCCAGAGCCCCAGGAUCUUGUUCUGCCCACUCACAGCCAAAGCCCAGAAAUGCAGGGGAGUUGAUGCCCCCCUGGAGCAAGUCAGCUGCAGGAUGAUGAGUCUGUGGAUGAAAGUCUAAAACUCUUAUCACUUUGAAGGAAAAUUUUGAGGUGUAUUCUAUAUAGUUCAUUAGAUGACGCCCCAGGAGAACAGAGUUCUUCUUUCCAGAAUAAUAGCCAGAUCAACGACAUACUCUUUGUUGGUUUUCCUUCAAAACCUCCUAACCUCAAUCUUUCUGCUUCCAUGGUCUGGCUUCCUGGGAUCAUCCCCAAAUAUAUGACCUGUUUUGGGGGAAACCAACUAAUUCAGUAUUUCUGUUGUAUUGCUGCCUUUUGUGAAUUUGUUCUACAUGAGCGAUCAAUUUGAUUCCCAGUUGAUUAGAAAAGAAUUACAUAUUGUUUGAAAGUGGUGCAAAAGCAGACAACACACUAGUUACUGAGGUGGCACUAGUGAACAGAUUUCUGAUUCAAUAAAAUCCACUUUUAAGAUCAUAGGACACAUAGAUUUAUAUUCUAUAUUUGUAAUGGAGCUCUAAUCAGUCUUUAUUAAUAUAUUUUUUUAACAUUUAUUUGAGAGAGGGAGAGAGAUACAAUGCAUGAGGGGCA